rnacentral:ncRNA from 1 species
GAGAGCCGGAUGCGGGAAAUCCGCCUGUCCGGUUCGAUGAGCGGAGUGUGAAAACGGGGCCAUGGUCGAACCAGUAAGGCACCGCCAAACGAAAGGGGCGGAAACAGAGUGUUCGAACCUAAAACUACCGCGUCACACUUCGACUCUAC